ensembl:misc_RNA
AGUGGGCCAGAGACUGUAUUUAGUUGUGCUAAAAUCCUAAAGACCUAGAUCAGGACUCCUAAACCUAUGUCCUCAGUGUCCAAGAGGACAAAAGCUUGUGAGCAGGCUCUGUCCCCUCUGGGAAGAGAGCCA